UGAAACACCAGUUCCAGUAAGAUGACCGAAGUUAAGCAAAGUCGAGCCUCGUAAGUACCUAGAUGGGUGACCGCUUGGGAAUUCCAGGUGUUAUAU